rnacentral:lncRNA from 1 species
GGAGAUAAGAGUUUCAGUAGGUUUCCCAACAGCGUACUUAAAGGAACUACAAGUCUUCAAAUACAAAGAGAACAAUUGAGUCCUUUCAUCUUUUCAGUGUCUUAUGUCUACGCUGGAUAGAAGAAGAAUUAAGAGACUUAUUGAUUCGAGGAAGAUUUAGACCAGUCACUGAGGAGGAACUAGCAGGAAGAGAUUUUCAAGAGCAACCUGUCUGUAGAGCCCCGGUACAGCAGGGUGCUGGCCUGAAACCAAUGUUCUGUGGGACUGGAGCCAGAAACAGGAUCAGGGUUGCAGGAAGAACCCUGAAAAGAAAGGCUCUUCUUUCAGAAAGUGGAGCUCCAUGAGCUGUCGGCAUCCCAGGGGCAGAGCAGAGGCAGAUUUUGGCUGUGAAGUUGACCCAGCCAAUGCCAUGCAGGACAAGGUGGCAUUGAGAAGGUCCAGAGCAGCAGCAUGUGUGCUGGAGGGGAACCACAAGCCGUGAGGGAUAGGGCAAAAGUGCCCGCUUCAUAAAUACACAUGAACAAACAAAACAGCUCACCAGCAGACAAGCUUAGCUGGGGAGCUUUGUGCAAGGCAAUGCAAGAGGAGGCACGCAGCUCGAGCGCUGGGUCAGGAGGAAUGAGCCUAAGUCACCGGUGUCUCACAUCUCCUCUCUUGCUUUACUGAUGGAGAGUAACAUGCAGGUAAACUUCAGAAGUCACAUGCAGUAAAUUUCAUACAUUCUUAUCUUGCCCAAACCUAUGCACAUUCACAAGGCGUCUUUCUGGAAAUAUCAGACCUGUAAAUCCCAGAUGCAGAGAUAAGAGCAGGAGCAUAGGAAUGAGCCUUAAACUGCCUAGUUUGAGUAAUUGUAAUGAUUUCAUUCUGGCUAAUAGCAGCGAGGAGUCAAGGGGAGUGAAGGCAGCUCCUUGUUUCUCAGUGACCUAAUAGUGACUGUCAGCCUGCUUUUUAUUGGGAGUAAUUACAUUUUCCUUUCCUGAUCUUUACAGCUCUUGUCUAUUUGCCCUCAGCAAGCUUGCCUGCCUUGCCCUCUUCUGUGCUCUGAAACCCAGAAAUUCCACACAGAUGAUGCUAUUCACAUCAAACAGAGGAUGCAUAAAGUCAUGGUGAUUGUAAAGACGUGGUGGGCAUAUUUCUGCACUGCAAAACUCAGGAACACGGCCUGCCAGGUAGUUCAUCCCCAAGUGCUGGAGGAGC